rnacentral:misc_RNA from 1 species
UCCGGCUUAUCACCGGCAGUUUCUUUAGAGUGCCCAACUAAAUGAUGGCAACUAAAGACGAGGGUUGCGCUCGUUGCGGGACUUAACCCAACAUCUCACGACACGAGCUGACGACAGCCAUGCAGCACCUGUGAACCAGCCCCAAAGGGGAAGGACUGUUUCCAGCCCGGUCCGGUCCAUGUCAAGCCUUGGUAAGGUUCUUCGCGUUGCAUCGAAUUAAUCCGCAUGCUCCGCCGCUUGUGCGGGCCCCCGUCAAUUCCUUUGAGUUUCACCGUUGCCGGCGUACUCCCCAGGUGGAUUACUUAUCGCUUGCGCUAAGACGCUGACUGUGUAUCGCCAACAUCGAGUAACCAUCGUUUACGGCGUAGACUAC